rnacentral:rRNA from 1 species
GAGUUUGAUCAUGGCUCAGGACGAACGCUGGCGGCGUGCCUAACACAUGCAAGUCGAGCGGGGAGAAGAAUUCGUUUUUCUCUUUAGCGGCGGACGGGUGAGUAACACGUGGGUAACCUGCCUCAAAGUGGGGGAUAGCCUUCCGAAAGGAAGAUUAAUACCGCAUAAUAUCAGAGCACUGCAUGGUGCUGUGAUUAAAGGAGCAAUCCGCUUUGAGAUGGACCCGCGGCGCAUUAGCUAGUUGGUGAGGUAACGGCCCACCAAGGCGACGAUGCGUAGCCGACCUGAGAGGGUGAUCGGCCACAUUGGAACUGGGACACGGUCCAGACUCCUACGGGAGGCAGCAGUGGGGAAUACUGCACAAUGGGGGAAACCCUGAUGCAGCAACGCCGCGUGAGUGAUGAAGGCCUUCGGGUCGUAAAGCUCUUUGAUCAGGGACGAUAAUGACGGUACCUGAAAAACAAGCCACGGCUAACUACGUGCCAGCAGCCGCGGUAAUACGUAGGUGGCGAGCGUUGUCCGGAUUUACUGGGCGUAAAGAAUGCGUAGGUGGAUAUUUAAGUGGGAUGUGAAGUCCCCGGGCUCAACCCGGGAACUGCAUACCAAACUGGAUAUCUGGAGUGCAGGAGAGGAAAGCGGAAUUCCUAGUGUAGCGGUGAAAUGCGUAGAUAUUAGGAGGAACACCAGUGGCGAAGGCGGCUUUCUGGACUGUAACUGACACUGAGGCAUGAAAGCGUGGGGAGCAAACAGGAUUAGAUACCCUGGUAGUCCACGCCGUAAACUAUGGGUACUAGGUGUAGGGGGUAUCGACUCCCCCUGUGCCGUCGUUAACACAAUAAGUACCCCGCCUGGGGAGUACGGUCGCAAGACUAAAACUCAAAGGAAUUACGGG